UACGUAGGCAGCAAGCGUUGUUCGGAGUUACUGGGCGUAAAGAGUGCGUAGGUGGUGCCCUAAGUCUGUUGUGAAAUCUCCCGGCUUAACUGGGAGGGUGCGGUGGAAACUGGGGUGCUUGAGUGUGGGAGAGGUAAGCGGAAUUCCUGGUGUAGCGGUGAAAUGCGUAGAUAUUGGGAAGAACACCGGUGGCGAAGGCGGCGCUCUGACCGAGACUGACGCUGAGGCGCGAAAGCGUGGGGAGCAAACAGGGAUUAAGAUGA
rnacentral:rRNA from 1 species